GACGAACGCUGGCGGCGUGCUUAACACAUGCAAGUCGAGCGGUAAGGCCCUUUCGGGGUACGACGAGCGGCGAACGGGUGAGUAACACGUGGGUGACCUGCCCUUACGCUCUGGGAUAAGCCUGGGAAACUGGGUCGUAAUACCGGAUAUGACUCCAUAACGCAUGUUGUGGGGUGGAAAGCCUUGUGCGGCUAGGGAUGGGCCCGCGGCCUAUCAGCUUGUUGGUGGGGUGAUGGCCACCAAGGCGACGACGGGUAGCCGGCCUGAGAGGGCGACCGGCCACACUGGGACUGAGACACGGCCCAGACUCCUACGGGAGGCAGCAGUGGGGAAUCUUGCGCAAUGGGCGAAAGCCUGACGCAGCGACGCCGCGUGGGGA
rnacentral:rRNA from 1 species